GACAGCAGUAGCCACGGUAAUACGUAGGGCGCAAGCGUUAUCCGGAAUUAUUGGGCGUAAAGAGCUCGUAGGCGGUUUGUCGCGUCUGCCGUGAAAGUCCGGGGCUCAACCCCGGAUCUGCGGUGGGUACGGGCAGACUAGAGUGAUGUAGGGGAGACUGGAAUUCCUGGUGUAGCGGUGAAAUGCGCAGAUAUCAGGAGGAACACCGAUGGCGAAGGCAGGUCUCUGGGCAUUAACUGACGCUGAGGAGCGAAAGCAUGGGGAGCAAACAGGAUUAGAUACCCCUGUAGUCCCUGUCUCUUAUAC
rnacentral:rRNA from 1 species